GCUGCUCUCUCCUUGGACGUCCUGCUCACCUAGGCACCUGGGGUCCAUCUUUCAUCUGGCUCUAAUCAUCUUGGCCAAGGACACGCCUCCUGACUCCCCUCAGCACAGACCCCACAGUUUUCUGGAAGGCUGUCUCCAAAGCACACAGAAGAACAGGAGGCUUCCUCUGCACCCUGAUUUGUGUUAAAGAUUCAAGUCUUGAGAAAAAGCAGCACCUCUCUAACUGUGGCACGCCGCUCUCUCUCUCUCCCUUGCAAGGCAAAGCUGAGCCUCCUUUGAGAAGAAUGCAUGUGAGAUGGCGUGCUGCAAUUGGCCACUGGCUAACAGAGAUGCUGUCACAAAGUAAUGGAGUGACACAGCGACCCACUGGUCUCUUCCCCACCAAGAGUUGAGUGCUACAGUUUGCAAAGAGUGUUUCUGUUAAGCUGAUUGUGUGGCAGAACCUUAGUAGACUUCCAUGAUGACUACGGAUUGACAUUCUUCUGACUGUCCCUUUUCAUUUUUAUUUCGAAGCUAUAACAAGGUGAAAACCGGAUGAGAUAUAUUUUAUUAGUGUGUCCUCAUUUAUAUAGGGACCACAUUUUUCAUGACAAAGUACUAUAAUCAUUGAUCACAAAUAUCCAAACACUGAGAAAGGAGCAAAGUAUUGCAAAGAUUGGGAAGCUUUUAUGAAGUUAAUUUGAAGAAAUUAAUCUCUGGUGAUGUUAUGUCUCCUAUAAAGUACAGCUCCUGGCAACAUGCUGGACCCCGAGACACCAGAAGCGGCUUCUAUGGGCCCUUCCCCAUGACAGCCACCCUCUGUAGAUGUCACAGGUUUAUAGACUGGAAGGGCACAGUGAGCAUCAGCUUUCAAUAUGAGAGAGCUUAUUUAUGCUCUCAUUUCAAAAUGAAACAAAUAUAUAGACAUUCUAGAACUUUACCCCUGGACAUCUCGCAAGGGGUAGUCACCCCAGUUGUAAAAUACCUACAAAUGACUCCUUGCAGUUAACCCUAACAACCCGGUUUUCUUACGCCUCUGAGCUAACCUUUCCCCUUUAUUUUCAGUUUUAGUUUUUAGUUAGCUUAAAGAGAAGCAGGAUUCUUUAUGGAAUUUUCAUAUUUAAUUUUGGCUGGUCCCCUCCCCCCACACACACAUACCUUAAAGUUAAUUAUCUACAGAUUUACCUCCACAGGCCUGUCCCAUUGGAAGGGCUGAUGAGUGUGAUUUCCAGGGGCCAUGGCAAGCUAACCUUCCCUAACCAAAUACUGCCUCAUGUCUCCUGAACAAAGAGAUGGAGAUGGAGACAAUCCCUAUGAUCUCCACUACACAUAUCAUACCAGCCACUAUGCACACAACAACAGUACAUUCUUGGUAGGAAAAGUGUUUGGUACCAAGUACAUGGUGGGCUCACUGAGACAAAGUCCCAGGAUUUCAGCCGGGCUCAGUACCCUUCCCAUUACAUGGUCAUGGAACCAAAUCCAGCCUCCGCAUCUUUCAGAAUAGGCUACAGGAAAAGCAAUUCGCCUUCCCUCUGCUCUCUGGGAUAAUGAAGUCUGCUUGACUUUAUGACUUAUAUGGACACAAUGAACAACAUACCUGCUACUCAAAAAGAAAAGAAAACAAAAACCUGAAUAAAUCAGGUACAGCAUGAGAAAUUUAAAAUGUAAAGUAUAAUCCCAGGAUUUUGGCAAGUACAAACUGUGGCUUUUAAAAUCUUGAGUGAAAUAAACCAGA
rnacentral:lncRNA from 1 species